GAUGAACGCUGGCGGCGUGCCUAAUACAUGCAAGUCGAGCGAACAGACGAGGAGCUUGCUCCUUUGACGUUAGCGGCGGACGGGUGAGUAACACGUAGGUAACCUACCUAUAAGACUGGGAUAACUUCGGGAAACCGGAGCUAAUACCGGAUAAUAUUUCGAACCGCAUGAUUCGAUAGUGAAAGAUGGCUUUGCUAUCACUUAUAGAUGGACCUGCGCCGUAUUAGCUAGUUGGUAAGGUAACGGCUUACCAAGGCAACGAUACGUAGCCGACCUGAGAGGGUGAUCGGCCACACUGGAACUGAGACACGGUCCAGACUCCUACGGGAGGCAGCAGUAGGGAAUCUUCCGCAAUGGGCGAAAGCCUGACGGAGCAACGCCGCGUGAGUGAUGAAGGUCUUCGGAUCGUAAAACUCUGUUAUUAGGGAAGAACAAACGUGUAAGUAACUGUGCACGUCUUGACGGUACCUAAUCAGAAAGCCACGGCUAACUACGUG
rnacentral:rRNA from 1 species